CGGGGUCUAAUACCGGAUAUGACUGUCCACCGCAUGGUGGAUGGUGUAAAGCUCCGGCGGUGCAGGAUGAGCCCGCGGCCUAUCAGCUUGUUGGUGAGGUAGUGGCUCACCAAGGCGACGACGGGUAGCCGGCCUGAGAGGGCGACCGGCCACACUGGGACUGAGACACGGCCCAGACUCCUACGGGAGGCAGCAGUGGGGAAUAUUGCACAAUGGGCGAAAGCCUGAUGCAGCGACGCCGCGUGAGGGAUGACGGCCUUCGGGUUGUAAACCUCUUUCAGCAGGGAAGAAGCGAAAGUGACGGUACCUGCAGAAGAAGCGCCGGCUAACUACGUGCCAGCAGCCGCGGUAAUACGUAGGGCGCAAGCGUUGUCCGGAAUUAUUGGGCGUAAAGAGCUCGUAGGCGGCUUGUCACGUCGGUUGUGAAAGCCCGGGGCUUAACCCCGGGUCUGCAGUCGAUACGGGCAGGCUAGAGUUCGGUAGGGGAGAUCGGAAUUCCUGGUGUAGCGGUGAAAUGCGCAGAUAUCACGAGGAACACCGGUGGCGAAGGCGGAUCUCUGGGCCGAUACUGACGCUGAGGAGCGAAAGCGUGGGGAGCGAACAGGAUUAGAUACCCUGGUAGUCCACGCCGUAAACGGUGGGCACUAGUGUGGGCAACAUUCCACGUUGUCCGUGCCGCAGCUAACGCAUUAAGUGCCCCCGCCUGGGGAGUACGGCCGCAAGGCUAAAACCCCAAAGGA
rnacentral:rRNA from 1 species